rnacentral:tRNA from 1 species
GUAGAUAGAAGCCCUCUGGUUUGGGUGGCUAGCUGUUAAUUAGUUUAUUUGCGGGAUCGAGGCCCGUCUAUCUAG